rnacentral:rRNA from 1 species
UGGGGAAUAUUGGACAAUGGGGGGAACCCUGAUCCAGCCAUGCCGCGUGUGUGAAGAAGGCCUUAUGGUUGUAAAGCACUUUAAGCGAGGAGGAGGGUACUGGUAUUAAUACUACCAGGUACUGGACGUUACUCGCAGAAUAAGCACCGGCUAACUCUGUGCCAGCAGCCGCGGUAAUACAGAGGGUGCGAGCGUUAAUCGGAUUUACUGGGCGUAAAGCGUGCGUAGGCGGCUAAUUGAGUCGGAUGUGAAAUCCCCGAGCUUAACUUGGGAAUUGCAUUCGAUACUGGUUAGCUAGAGUGUGGGAGAGGAUGGUAGAAUUCCAGGUGUAGCGGUGAAAUGCGUAGAGGUCUGGAGGAAUACCGAUGGCGAAGGCAGCCAUCUGGCCUAACACUGACGCUGAGGUACGAAAGCAUGGGGAGCAAACAGG